rnacentral:misc_RNA from 1 species
AAGGAAAAGAGAGAGAGAGAGAGAAAACGGCUGCCAUGGCUAACCGUAAGAAGCUUGAAGCUUAUGUAAGAAGGUAGCUAUGGAGAGGGGCGUUCAGAGAUGGGCUGUUGACAUUUCUGAGUGGAACCCUUCUCCCCAUGACUUCUCCUCUGCCCUAACUCUACUCCCUCGCCAUGAAUAUUCCUCCAUCCUUAGAUUUUUUAAGAUGGAAGACAGGAAGCGUGCACUUGUGAGUCGUUUGCUUCAGUAUGCUCUUG